rnacentral:lncRNA from 1 species
AAGGGUCCUGUAUCAUGUGAAGUAAACAGGAAGUUGGAGUAAACAAAACUAUACAGUGCAACUGUUUAAUCAACUUGUGAACAGAAAUCAAGUUGUGUUUAAAGGAAGGAACCAGAACCACAUUAUGAAGAGUAAGGGAAGAAGUUAACAAUUAGGUAAAGUCACAAGAUAAGGAACAGUCAAGGUUAUGAUGUUAAAGAGUAGGUUUUUAUUGUGAAGGGUAAGGGAAGAAGUUAAUGCAAAAGAACCUGUACAAGUUACUCUUACUUUGUAACCAUUAGGCAAAGUUACAAGAUAAGGAACAGUCAAAGGUAUGAUGUUAAAG